GGAGGGCGCCGCGGAAAGGUCCGCAACCCGGCUUGAACCCGGGGGUACAUGAGAGUGUAGGGGUUCGAUUCCUCCGCCCUCCGCCA
rnacentral:tRNA from 1 species